rfam:Camelus ferus unplaced genomic scaffold scaffold1095, whole genome shotgun sequence.
GAGGGUAUAGGUCAGUGGUAGAGCACAUGCUUAGCAUGCAUGAGGUCCUGGGUUCAAUCCCCAGUACCUCCA